GGAUCUUCGGCAAUGGGCGCAAGCCUGACCGAGCGACGCCGCGUGGAGGACGAAGGCCUUCGGGUUGUAAACUCCUGUCGAGGGGGAGGAAGCCCGCAAGGGUUGACCUAUCCCUGGAGGAAGCACGGGCUAAGUUCGUGCCAGCAGCCGCGGUAAGACGAACCGUGCGAACGUUGUUCGGAAUCACUGGGCUUAAAGGGCGCGUAGGAGGCCCCGCCAGUCCUGGGUGAAAGCUCCCGGCCCAACCGGGAAAGUGCCCGGGAUACUGCGGGGCUCGAGCGAGGCAGGGGCGGGGGGAACUUCCGGUGGAGCGGUGAAAUGCGUUGAUAUCGGAAGGAACGCCGGUGGCGAAAGCGCCCCGCUGGGCCUCUCCUGACGCUGAGGCGCGAAAGCCAGGGGAGCAAAC
rnacentral:rRNA from 1 species